rnacentral:rRNA from 1 species
AUUGAACGCUGGCGGCAGGCCUAACACAUGCAAGUCGAACGAGUGGCGGACGGGUGAGUAAUGUCUGGGAAACUGCCUGACGGAGGGGGAUAACUACUGGAACCGGUAGCUAAUACUGCAUACCAUCAGAUGUGCCCAGAUGGGAGUAGCUUGUGGGUGGGGUAACGGCUCACCAAGGCGACGAUCCCUAGCUGGCCUGAGAGGAUGACCAGCCACACUGGAACUGAGACACGGUCCAGACUCCUACGGGAGGCAGCAGUGGGGAAUAUGGCACAAUGGGCGCAAGCCUGAGACAGCCAUGCCGCGUGUAUGAAGAAGGCCUUCGGGUUGUAAAGUACUUUCAGCGGGGAGGCGUUACCCGCAGAAGAAGCACCGGCUAACUCCGUGCCAGCCGCCGCGGUAAUUC